rnacentral:sRNA from 1 species
AAAAAAAAAGGAAAACUAG